GACAGAGGUGCCGAGCGUUACGCGGAAUCACUGGGCUUAAAGCGUGUGUAGGCGGCGGCGUAAGUACCUUGUGAAAUCCCACGGCUCAACCGUGGAACUGCUCGGUAUACUGCGUCGCUUGAGCCAGCUAGGGGCGACCGGAACAAACGGUGGAGCGGUGAAAUGCGCAGAUAUCAGGAAGAACACCUAUGGCGAAGGCAGCUCUCUGGGACGGUACUGACGCUGAGACGCGAAAGCGUGGGGAGCGAACAGG
rnacentral:rRNA from 1 species